rnacentral:rRNA from 1 species
GCUUGCAGCCAGCAGUCAUGUGCUGUGAUCAUCAGAUCUCAGACUAAGCAGGAAUGGGCAAAAUCAGAACUUGGUUGGGAGAUCUUCAAGAAAAACUCUGGUGCUGCAAGAA